rnacentral:lncRNA from 1 species
UUUUUUGUUACAAAGACAUAUUUUGCUAAAAAAGAAAUGUAUCAAGGACCUAUUUUUGCAUAACUAACAAUUUAGGGCUAACUCUAAAACAAAUUGUUCAUAAAAAACCCUCAAUUUAGGCCUAUCGUAACAAAACCCUCACACCGUCACACUCGCGUAUUCUUAACCCACCACUCUCACACAUCACCGUCGCAUCUCAAAUCACCACCGUCACACCUCGCCACCGCAUCUCAACCAUAGUCAUCGUAGCCUCGUCGCUUCUCAUCUAUCGCGCGCGCAUCAUCCUCCCGCUCUUCGUUUGUAAGUUUUCCUUUGAUUUCGUUUGUUCAACACAUAGAUUUAUUUUUCAAGUUGCUACUUGCACUCAGAUUUCGUUUGAUUUGCCUGUACUUAUCACAUAUUUCGUUUCUUCUUACGAAUUAUUUACUUUCAGUUUGCUUGCAUCUACUUUUUGUGCUGAUAAAAGUUCCCUACGCUUGUCACAUAUUUCGUUUUACUUAUGUUUGAUUUGCAUCUACUUAGUGUGUGCUGUUCAUUUCAGAUUCUCAUAUUAGUUUUUUCUUCUUCUUUUUUUUUAAUUAUGAUUUGUAUGAGCUUGCAAUAUAGAAGUUAAUACCAGUGCUGAAAAGUGUGUUAAUGAUUGUCAAUAAUUGGAAACUCCAUCACCAUUUGUUCAAGUGACUUGUAUUUAACUUUCUAAAUCUUAGUUUUUAUUUUAUUUAAUAUUGAUAAAUUCUCGUUGAUGUGAAUAGAAUUUGACAGUAGUUGGUCGUAAGGGAAUGGCUGAACUUUGGCUAGAUUAGCAGUAGUAUUCUUUUGAUUGUAAUAACAAACUUGUUUUAGUGACUACAUGUUUGAUUUCACGGUGGGAUUGGUAAAAUCAUGGUGAGCCGCUGUUAUUUU